CUCAGCGAGGGCCAAGAUAAGCUACGCCCAAAGCUUGAGACGGAGCCUGAACCAACCAGCGUCCGGUUGACGUGCAGACCCACAGACCUGCAGCUCUGAGAAAAAAGAAAACAGCCCCCGUGUUGUGAGCUAUGCUAUGGAGAGGCCCACGUGGGGAAGAGGCUGGUGAGGAAUUCUGAGUCAGAGGCACCAAGGGGCACCCAGCUAAGGUGUGCCAGAUUCCUGACCAAUAGGCAUGCCACAGAUCACGAAGAAGUGUAAGUGGUGGCAGUCUGAGGCCUGCCAGCAGCCAUCAAUGUCAAGGAGCCAGCUUGGAAACAGACCAUGCAGCCCCGGUCAGGCCUUCAACUGAUUGCAGCCCUGGCUGACAUCUUGACUGCAGAAUCAUGAGCAACCUGGAGCCAGAAGCACCGAUUCAAGCUUCCUCUGAAUUCCUGACCAGCAGAAAUUGUGAGAUGGUGUGGCAAAGAAUAAUCUUUUCACGAGUGCAGGAAUAUCAGUAGAACACAUUUCUAGAAGGGAGAUCAUUGAGUC